ACUGUGAUUCAUACCACGAAAGACAAUAUAACGUGAUAAAUGAAGAUACCAUAUCAAUGUAACAAUCCAACUGGGGAAAAAAAGAUAUGUGUAAAAUCCUUAAAGAACACUGAAGAGGAACUGGAAAUGUGAAACCAGUUCGAAAUGCAUAUGUAAAAAUAUAAUAAAAGAAUUCAUUAAUUUGAUGCUGUAAGAUAGUCUACCGAAAGGAUUAAAGAGACAACCAUUCACAAACGAAUAUACAGCUAUAACCAGUAAAUUAAAGUUAGUAAUAAAAAAUAAAGUUGUGAGCAGUAAAUAGUUGGGUGAUUUUUUGAGAUAUGUCCCUGAAAAGGUACAGAUGAUUUGGCAUUUGCAUUCCUAGAGACAACCUGGAAUGUUAAUUAAGGAUAGGAAGGAGGAGGAAAAACUCCAGGACAUCUAACUUAGAUUUGUUGUUUGGCCCAGACUCGUGCUUUAUGGCAGUGAAUACAUCAUUAAGAGCAACAGCAGAGUCAGAUAAGUUAUAUGCUCUACAGACAUGUCUUGAAUUUAUUAGGUUGAAAGAAGCAGUGUGAUUUUUGUAACAGCACAAGCUGGAUUGCUUUAAAGAAUAAAUGUGGGCAGGAGAGAAGAGUGGUUCAGAGAAAGUAUCAGUUGUAUCAAACACGCAAGCUAUAAAAACAGUUUUGCUGGGAUUUUAUGGUUUAUUAUAUAUUUGAUUUUAAUGAUUCAAGAAUUUGGAUUUCAAAUAGAACACUGCAUGUUAGUAAGGUUAUAAAUAAUUAAUAAUUCAGGUGUGUGUGAAAAUUCAAUUCAGGUUGAACUUUUUAACUUAGCUGGAAUUGGCACAUUUGUGAAUCAUUUGGUUCAAACUUUUAGGCAUUUAUUAAUUUUUUAACACAAUAUAGUUGUAAUAAUUGUAUUUAAGAUUGUCUAUGUAACACAUCAAUAAUUAUCUUAUUUGUUUUUUCUUUGUCAACAGAAUAUAUUUAUGUAAACAGUGGGACAAUCAGAAAGUCUUUUCUGACCACACCGCUCUGGCCACGGAUGUUCAUUUUGGCCAAUACGCACACUUCAUCGCCUCGGUUAGUAUGGACAGGACACUAAAAAUUUACGGCAUAUGAUGUCAAGAAU